GCAUUCUCGUGAAUUCUCCAACUGUGCCUCACAUGAAAAUUUCUCAAGGAUGACCUUUGAAGUGUUCUGUAUCAUCAAUCAUCUCAGAAAAGGAGAAGACAAGGAAGGAUUACUGUUGAUGCAUAUCUAAUACCAGAUGACCGGGAAUGGGAAGGCUCUACUUAGGGCAAAUGACAUUAUGACCCCCUCCCCAUUUUAAUCCUUCAGAUCCCCUGAAUUUCUUCUCAAAAAUUCAGGUCUGUUCCCCCUCCUUUUAAAGGGGUUUUAUAGGACAACACAGAAUAUUUGGGGAGAAUUAAAAGAAAGAGCAGCUUUGGGAAGUUAAGAGGAUCUAGAAGAGCUACUCUUUGCCAAAGUCUCAUAACAAUUCACUAUGUAAAGUUUGGGAUGUUAUUUCUUUAUGUCAUGGAUGGCCAGCUUUUUUUUUUUUUAAUGUAUUUUUGGCCAACAGCCUCUCUGAGAACUCCAUUCAAUUGCUGGAUGGAAGUGGGAGGUAGAGCCAGAAUAAAAAUAUUCAAAGUCA